rnacentral:tRNA from 1 species
GGGGGCGUAGCUCAACAGGGAGAGCACCUGCCUUGCAAGCAGACGGUUGCCGGUUCGAUGCCGGCCGCUUCCACCA